UACGAAGGGGGGCUAGCGUUGCUCGGAAUCACUGGGCGUAAAGCGCACGUAGGCGGCUUUGUAAGUUAGAGGUGAAAGCCCAGGGCUUAACCCUGGAAUUGCCUUUAAGACUGCAUCGCUAGAAUCGUGGAGAGGUGAGUGGAAUUCCGAGUGUAGAGGUGAAAUUCGUAGAUAUUCGGAAGAACACCAGUGGCGAAGGCGACUCACUGGACACGUAUUGACGCUGAGGUGCGAAAGCGUGGGGAGCAACAGG
rnacentral:rRNA from 1 species